rnacentral:rRNA from 1 species
AUUGAACGCUGGCGGCAUGCCUUACACAUGCAAGUCGAACGGUAACAGGUCUUCGGACGCUGACGAGUGGCGAACGGGUGAGUAAUACAUCGGAACGUGCCCAGUCGUGGGGGAUAACUACUCGAAAGAGUAGCUAAUACCGCAUACGAUCUGAGGAUGAAAGCGGGGGACCUUCGGGCCUCGCGCGAUUGGAGCGGCCGAUGGCAGAUUAGGUAGUUGGUGGGAUAAAAGCUUACCAGGCCGACGAUCUGUAGCUGGUCUGAGGGGACGACCAGCCACACUGGGACUGAGACACGGCCCAGACUCCUACGGGAGGCAGCAGUGGGGAAUUUUGGACAAUGGGCGAAAGCCUGAUCCAGCAAUGCCGCGUGCAGGAUGAAGGCCUUCGGGUUGUAAACUGCUUUUGUACGGAACGAAAAAGUCUCCUCUAAUACAGGAGGCCCAUGACGGUACCGUAAGAAUAAGCACCGGCUAACUACGUGCCAGCCGCCGCAGUAAUAC